AAUUAUUGAAGACUUCAAGACUCACCAGUUCCAUUACACAAAGGCAAAGGCAACUCUUCAUAUUCUUGUCCAUUUUCCAAAUCACAGUGAGUGCAGCCUAUGUCAAAGUGUCCUGGCUCUCACAGUUUUCAACAGGUCACUAGUGGAAAC